UACAGAGGGUGCGAGCGUUAAUCGGAAUUACUGGGCGUAAAGGGCGCGUAGGCGGUGUAUUAAGUUAGAUGUGAAAUCCCUGGGCUUAACCUAGGAACUGCAUCUAAUACUGGUACGCUAGAGUGCGGUAGAGGGUAGUGGAAUUUCCGGUGUAGCGGUGAAAUGCGUAGAUAUCGGAAGGAACACCAGUGGCGAAGGCGGCUACCUGGACUGACACUGACGCUGAGGCGCGAAAGCGUGGGGAUCAAACAGG
rnacentral:ncRNA from 2 species